AUACGUAGGUGGCAAGCGUUGUCCGGAAUUACUGGGUGUAAAGGGCGUGUAGGCGGGGCGGCAAGUCAGAUGUGAAAUACCGUGGCUUAACUGCGGGGGUGCAUCUGAAACUGCUGCUCUUGAGUGUCGGAGAGGAAAGUGGAAUUCCCAGUGUAGCGGUGAAAUGCGUAGAGAUUGGGAGGAACACCAGUGGCGAAGGCGGCUUUCUGGACGAUAACUGACGCUGAGGCGCGAAAGCGUGGGUAGCAAACAGGAUUAGAUACCCUGGUAGUCCACGCCGUAAACGAUGGAUACUAGGUGUAGGAGGUAUCGACCCCUUCUGUGCCGCAGUUAACACAAUAAGUAUCCCACCUGGGGAGUACGGCCGCAAGGUUGAA
rnacentral:rRNA from 1 species